rnacentral:rRNA from 1 species
UACGGAGGGGGCUAGCGUUGUUCGGAAUUACUGGGCGUAAAGCGCGCGUAGGCGGACCUGCAAGUCGGGGGUGAAAGCCCGAGGCUCAACCUCGGAACUGCCUUCGAUACUGCGGGUCUCGAGUCCGGGAGAGGUGAGUGGAAUUCCUGGUGUAGCGGUGAAAUGCGCAGAUAUCAGGAAGAACACCCGUGGCUAAGGCGGCUCUCUAGUACGGUACUGACGCUGAGACGCGAAAGCGUGGGGAGCGAACAGG